rnacentral:rRNA from 1 species
UACGAAGGGGGCUAGCGUUGUUCGGAAUUACUGGGCGUAAAGCGCACGUAGGCGGAUCGAUCAGUCAGGGGUGAAAUCCCUCGGCUCAACUGAGGAACUGCCUUUGAAACUGUACGGCUUGAGGCCGGGAGGGGGUAGUGGAAUUCCCAGUGUAGCGGUGAAAUGCGUAGAUACUGGGAGGAACACCAGUGGCGAAGGCGGCUACCUGGACCGGUUCUGACGCUGAGGCGCGAAAGCGUGGGUAGCAAACAGG